UGGGGAAUAUUGCACAAUGGGGGAAACCCUGAUGCAGCGACGCCGCGUGAACGAAGAAGGUAUUCGUAUCGUAAAGUUCUGUCCUAUGGGAAGAUAAUGACAGUACCAUAGAAGAAAGCUCCGGCUAAAUACGUGCCAGCAGCCGCGGUAAUACGUAUGGAGCGAGCGUUGUCCGGAAUUAUUUGGCGUAAAGGGUACGCAGGCGGUUUAAUAAGUCGAAUGUUAAAGAUCGGGGCUCAACCCCGCAAAGCAUUGGAAACUGAUAAACUGGAGUAGUGGAGAGGAAAGUGGAAUUCCUAGUGUAGUGGUGAAAUACGUAGAUAUUAGGAGGAAUACCAGUAGCGAAGGCGACUUUCUGGACACAAACUGACGCUGAGGUACGAAAGCGUGGGGAGCAAACAGG
rnacentral:rRNA from 1 species